rnacentral:misc_RNA from 1 species
AGUCCCACCAACUCCAUAAUAUAUUUGGAUUUGGAGAGCUUGGCAUAUAAUUUCAUUUGCGGAGAGAUUUACAAUAUAUUUCCCACCUCUCCAAUUUUCUCCCAUCUUCACAUAGCUAUGCUUAGUAAAAGAACCCAUCCCAUGAUGGAAAGAUUAUCUGAAUUAUUUGUUUCCGGCAACCGUGGUGGAUUCUUGGAUGUUUCCAGUGCUAGUCCAAGAAGUGCAUUGGAGUACAGACUUCAAUCACCUAGAGGUCUAAAGAAUUAU